UGGGUCCCGGGCCUGUGAGGGAUGCCGCGUAUGGGAGGAAUCAAGGGUGAGCUGGCCCGACCUGAAGUAUGUACUGAAUGUCGUCUCACUGCCCAUAGAGGGUGUAAGGCCCGUAAGGUCGGCGUUCAGCGUCUCCCGCUGGUUCCUCUCGAGAGUCGGUUGCUUGAAAAUGCACCUAAGCGGUGGUAAACUCAUCUAAGGCAAAUAUUCCACAGACGAUAGCUUACAGUACCGCGAGGGAAAGUUGAAAAGAACUCUGAAGAGAGAGUUCAAGAGAGCGUGAAACUACACGAGGAUAAAGCGAGUGAGCGUUCGUAACCGAACGGCUGGACUCAGCCAGCCCCGGACGUUAGCGGCGGAGGGUCGCAAAACGAUGAACGGAUCUCCCGGGAUUCUUUUCGGAUCAUUUUCCGAGUUUUCCGGGUUGACCGGCGUUUCCUCUCGUACGCGCGGAAGGGGGAUGCAMUUCUGGCCGAAGUAGGACGUCGCGGCCGUUCGAGGGGUGUCGAAGACACGGGGGUCUGGGAAACCGCCUCUUCCCGUCCCGGAGCGGCCUUCGGGUCGUUUCGGAUCGCGGGUCGAGCGGGGCCGCCUCGUUGCUCUGACGGCUCUUCGGACGGUGAAAUCAUGAAAAGAGCGGGCCUGCGGACGGGGAGG
rnacentral:rRNA from 1 species